rnacentral:rRNA from 1 species
GAUGAACGCUAGCUACAGGCUUAACACAUGCAAGUCGAGGGGCAUCAGGGCGAUAGCUUGCUAUCGUUGCUGGCGACCGGCGCACGGGUGAGUAACGCGUAUCCAACCUGGCCCCCAGUAGGGAAUAGCCCGGCGAAAGUCGGAUUAAUGCCCUAUGUUAUCCGAAGAGGACAUCUGAUUUGGAUUAAAGAUUUCAUCGCUGGGGGAUGGGGAUGCGUCCGAUUAGGUAGUAGGCGGGGCAACGGCCCACCUAGCCGACGAUCGGUAGGGGUUCUGAGAGGAAGGUCCCCCACACUGGAACUGAGACACGGUCCAGACUCCUACGGGAGGCAGCAGUGAGGAAUAUUGGUCAAUGGGCGGAAGCCUGAACCAGCCAAGUAGCGUGCAGGAUGACGGCCCUACGGGUUGUAAACUGCUUUUGGAGGGGAAUAACAGGCACUACGUGUAGUGUUUUGCAUGUACCCUCAGAAUAAGGACCGGCUAAUUCCGUGCCAGCAGCCGCGGUAAUACGGAAGGUCCGGGCGUUAUCCGGAUUUAUUGGGUUUAAAGGGAGCGCAGGCGGCCUUUUAAGCGUGACGUGAAAUGUCCCGGCUCAACCGGGGAGUUGCGUCGCGAACUGGGGGGCUUGAGUGCGGACGCGGCAUGCGGAAUUUGUGGUGUAGCGGUGAAAUGCUUAGAUAUCACGAAGAACGCCGAUUGCGAAGGCAGCGUGCCAGGCCGUAACUGACGCUAAUGCUCGAAGGUGCGGGUAUCGAACA